UGAGGGAAAGUUGAAAAGAACUUUGAAGAGAGAGUUCAACAGUACGUGAAACCGUUCAGAGGUAAACGGAUGGGACCGCAAAGUCGGCCCGUGGAAUUCAGCCCGUCGUGCGUGCGUCGUCGUCGUCUCCGGAUCCUCGCGGACCGGUGCGGCGGCGGGCGUGCGCUGCGGCGGGUGCCCUUUCCGCGGGUUGAGCGCCACGACCGGUUUGCCGGCGGUCUCAAGCCCCGAGAGAAGGUGAUCGAAGCGGUGCGCGCCUCGCACGGUGCGCUCCGCCACGGAGUUAUAGCUCUCGGUGGCGUUGGCCCGCCGGUGGACCGAGGAACAUUCUGUUGCCCGCCGCGGCGCGUGCGCCGGGCCCCGACGUCGGACGUUCGACUGCGCGAAGACUGCUCUCCGUGUUCGCCGACCGCGGCCGCUCGGGGAUCCGGUUCAACACGCGCUCACGCUCAGGGUCUGUGGCGAAUCGGUC
rnacentral:rRNA from 1 species